rnacentral:rRNA from 1 species
ACUUACUCUUCGGAGUGAGAGCGUACACAGGUGCUGCAUGGCUGUCGUCAGCUCGUGUCGUGAGAUGUGGGUUAAGUCCCGCAACGAGCGCAACCCUGCAUUCAGUUGCCAUCGGUAAGGCCGGGCACUCUGGAUGGACUGCCGGCGACAAGCCGGAGGAAGGUGGGGACGACGUCAAGUCAUCAUGGCCCUUAUGUCCAGGGCGACACACGUGCUACAAUGGCCGGCACAACGGGAAGCGAAGGGGCGACCCUGAGCGGAUCCCACAAAAGCCGGUCCCAGUUCGGAUUGCAGUCUGCAACUCGACUGCAUGAAGUUGGAAUCGCUAGUAAUCGUGGAUCAGCCAAGCCGCGGUGAAUACGUUCCCGGGCCUU